rnacentral:rRNA from 1 species
GACGAACGCUGGCGGCGUGCCUAAUACAUGCAAGUCGAGCGAAGUUUUUCUGGUGCUUGCACUAGAAACACUUAGCGGCGAACGGGUGAGUAACACGUAAAGAACCUGCCUCAUAGACUGGGACAACUAUUGGAAACGAUAGCUAAUACCGGAUAACAGUAUUUCUCGCAUGAGAGAUAUUUAAAAGUUGGUUAUGCUAACACUAUGAGAUGGCUUUGCGGUGCAUUAGCUAGUUGGUGGGGUAAAGGCCCACCAAGGCGACGAUGCAUAGCCGACCUGAGAGGGUGAUCGGCCACACUGGGACUGAGACACGGCCCAGACUCCUACGGGAGGCAGCAGUAGGGAAUCUUCCGCAAUGGGCGAAAGCCUGACGGAGCAACGCCGCGUGAGUGAAGAAGGAGUUCGGUUCGUAAAGCUCUGUUGUUAGGGAAGAAUGGAUAUGUAGUAACUAUACAUGUAAGAGACGGUACCUAACCAGAAAGCCACGGCUAACUACGUG